rnacentral:snoRNA from 1 species
AACCACAGAGAGAAACCUUAGAAAAAACAAAUGUCAGGUAGCAACUUGGAAUAAAAUCUGGCACGCCUGAGGUCUUUGGGGGACAGGGAAUGCUUACUUACUUUGCCUUCCUGUGGCUGCCUACAGGC